rnacentral:rRNA from 1 species
GACGUAGGGCGCGAGCGUUUGUCCGGAAUUAUUGGGCGUAAAGGGCUCGUAGGCGGUUUGUCGCGUCGGGAGUGAAAACCAUGGGCUUAACUCAUGGCUUGCUUCCGAUACGGGCAGACUAGAGGUAUGCAGGGGAGAACGGAAUUCCUGGUGUAGCGGUGAAAUGCGCAGAUAUCAGGAGGAACACCGGUGGCGAAGGCGGUUCUCUGGGCAUUACCUGACGCUGAGGAGCGAAAGUGUGGGGAGCGAACAGG